rnacentral:rRNA from 1 species
CAGUAGCCGCGGGAAUACGUAGGGGGCAAGCGUUAUCCGGAAUUAUUGGGCGUAAAGCGAGCGCAGGCGGUUAGAUAAGUCUGAAGUUAAAGGCUGUGGCUUAACCAUAGUACGCUUUGGAAACUGUUUAACUUGAGUGCAAGAGGGGAGAGUGGAAUUCCAUGUGUAGCGGUGAAAUGCGUAGAUAUAUGGAGGAACACCGGUGGCGAAAGCGGCUCUCUGGCUUGUAACUGACGCUGAGGCUCGAAGCGUGGGGAGCAAACAGGAUUAGAUACCCCUGUAGUCCCUGUCUCUUAUACAA